UGGGGAAUAUUGGACAAUGGGGGAAACCCUGAUCCAGCCAUGCCGCGUGAGUGAAGAAGGCCUUAGGGUUGUAAAGCUCUUUCAGCGGGGAAGAUGAUGACGGUACCCGCAGAAGAAGCCCCGGCUAACUCCGUGCCAGCAGCCGCGGUAAUACGGAGGGGGCUAGCGUUGUUCGGAAUCACUGGGCGUAAAGCGCGCGUAGGCGGUCCGCGUAGUCAGGCGUGAAAGCCCCGGGCUCAACCUGGGAACUGCGCUUGAUACUGGCGGGCUAGAGUACGGGAGAGGGUAGUGGAAUUCCCAGUGUAGAGGUGAAAUUCGUAGAUAUUGGGAAGAACACCAGUGGCGAAGGCGGCUGCCUGGACCGGUACUGACGCUGAGGUGCGAAAGCGUGGGGAGCAAACAGGAUUAGAUACCCCCGUAGUCC
rnacentral:rRNA from 1 species